GCUGGAUAUCCCUUCACUGGUAGCCUGGUAACAUACACUCCCAGGUCUUUCUCUGCCUCUGUGGUGGAUAGUGGAGUGUUUCCCAUGUGGUAUUGGUGUGCUGGAUAUCCCUUCACUGGUAGCCUGGUAACAUACACUCCCAGGUCUUUCUCUGCCUCUGUGGUGGAUAGUGGAGUGUUUCCCAUGUGGUACUGGUGUGCUGGAUAUCCCUUCACUGGUAGCCUGGUAACAUACACUCCCAGGUCUUUCUCUGCCUCUGUGGUGGAUAGUGGAGUGUUUCCCAUGUGGUAUUGGUGUGCUGGAUAUCCCUUCACUGGUAGCCUGGUAUCACACACUCCCGGGUCUUUCUCUGCCUCUCUGGUGGAUAGUGGAGUGUUCCCCAUGUGGUAUUGGUGUGCUGGAUAUCCCCUCCCAAGGUGCAGGACUUUACAUUUUUCUUCAUUGAACUGUAGCAGCCACUCUUUUGUUCCAUUGCUGUAGCUUGGUGAGGUCUUCUCGUAAGAAAUUCAAACUCAUGAGGUUGACAGACAAUACUACAGCGGGUGGGGGAAGGCCUGGGACCCCUAAUGCGAACCUAAAUCACAGACAAUAUCAAACAGCUUCAAGUCAUGUCUCUCGCUUUCUAUCGAUUCUAAUUCUUACACUGUUACCGCGUUCGUCUCUCUCUCUCUCUCUCUCUCUCUCUCUCUCUCUCUCUCUCUCUCUCUCUCUCUCUCUCUCUCUCUCUC